GUAGGGAAUAUUGCACAAUGGAGGAAACUCUGAUGCAGCGACGCCGCGUGAGUGAUGAAGGCCUUCGGGUCGUAAAGCUCUGUCGCAGGGGAAUAACACAAUGAAGGUACCCUGUAAGAAAGGAUCGGCUAACUUCGUGCCAGCAGCCGCGGUAAGACGAGGGAUCCUAGCGUUGUUCGGAAUCAUUGGGCGUAAAGCGGAUGUAGGUGGCUAUGUAAGUCAGAUGUGAAAGCCUGGGGCUCAACCCCAGAAGUGCAUUUGAUACUGCGUAGCUUGAGUGUCGGAGAGGUUACUAGAAUUGUUGGUGUAGUGGUGAAAUACGUAGAUAUCAACAGGAAUACCGGAGGCGAAGGCGGGUAACUGGCCGAACACUGACACUGAGAUCCGAAAGCGUGGGGAGCAAACAGGAUUAGAUACCCGUGUAGUCC
rnacentral:rRNA from 1 species